GGUUUCGUGGUGUAGUUGGUUAUCACGUUCGUCUCACACACGAGAGGUCUCCGGUUCGAGCCCGGACGGAACCA